GAAUAAAGGUCAAAGUCUCACCUUAUCCUGCCAUGCUCAGGGCACUCCACACCCCACCAUAACCUGGACCGCCAACAACAGGCCCUAUACAGGUGCAAGUGUUGAUGGAUCUGGCAGAAGUUCAGUGAUUAUUGACAACAUCAGUGUAAGUAAUGGUGGCACCUACGUCUGCAUUGCAGAGAACACUGUAGGAUCCAUACGGGCUCUUUCGUUUGUGCGUGUCAGAGGGGCCCUUCAAUGGAUAUACUGCUCAGAGAACUGCAUUCAUAGCUGGAAACUGCCCCUGGGGUGCUGAUAAGGAAGUGAGACAAUCAUUAUUUCCUACAGAAAUUAACAUGUCCCACAGCAGAACAGCUCAAGUAUGUGAUGAGGAUAUGUACGUAUAUAUGUAUAUGUACGUGAUAUGUAUAUUCCUACCUAUAAAUAUAACUU